CUUAAUACAAAAUGAAGGGUUCCCAACCCAAGCAACACAUUUGGCCAGUUUUCAAUGACACAAAAAUAGCAAAGUCUAAGCCCUAUACAUGCCAUAUUCAAAAAUAUAAAUCAAACUAUACUGAAAGCUUCGAUUCAUAGUGUGAUCGAUAACUCUGACUUCUGCUGAUCCUCGAGCGAGAUAGACGGCACUAUAAGAAAAUGGAAAAAGAGAAGGAGUAAGCAUAAAACUUAGUAAGUUGCACAUAAAUAAAUAUACAACAUAUCUUUACCAUUCAUCAACAAGUAUCAUAACACACAAAACUUACUCAUCAAUAUUCAUUACACCUCAUAUAGCAUAUAUUGAGCAAACAUUUCGUACAUACCAUAUAGGUACCUGUACCACUCACAACAAGGUUAUACUUUCCUAGUUAACUUUAAAUCAUACUUUCACCUUUGAACCAUAUGGAACAUUAUCAGAUACUCAUUUAGCCUCAAAUAUGGGGUCAGACAUCGACGCCAUGUCCACGACAUGGUCUUACACAAGUUCUAGUAUAUUUAUGCCGAUGCCAUGUCCCAGAUACGGUCUUACACUGACACAUCUCGUAGCCAAUGCAUGUCCUAGACAUGUCUUACACUAGCACUCGUCUCAAUGUCAAUGCCAUGUCCCAGACAUGGUCUUACACUGGCUCUCAUAAUGUGGCCGAUGCAUGUCCCAGACAUGUCUUACACUAGCUCACAAUAACUCAUAUGUUAUGGCAUGAAUCUCUGAUCUAUUUCCUAGGUUCAACGGGAACUCUACUAUCCCUAUUACCAUCAUACUUUCUCAAUUCCACAAUCAAGCAAUUCAUGGUAUAUUAAUCUCAAGUACAAUUCAACACAUACAUUAAAAUUGUAGUUGUAUUAUUUACAUACAACUUACCACAGAUUACAAAAUGUGGAGACUAGUCGAUUUAGUCGAUUUGCUUGGCUUUCCCCCGGUCUAGGUUUAGAUUCGGUAUUUCUUGAUCUAUAAUAGAAAAAUUCGAUUAUUUAGUCACUUUAUCAAUCUAGGCACUCUACAAUUCAAAAUUGGGCAAGAUGACCAAUUUGCCCCUAGACUUUUACAAAAUGAUCAUUUUACCCCUAAGUCCGAAAAUCAAUUUUCAUCGAAUUUCUUCACAUCUUAAGCCUAGCAAAACCCUUUUUUCUCUUAUAGCAACUCCAAAUUCUCACUAUUUCACAUAUUUAAUAUCUAUUUUACAACUUGUGCAAAAUGGUCCUUUUAGGUGUUUUCAUGCUAACACCUUUCACAAAAGUUGGUUAUAAGACACCUAAGACUCAUUUUCUUCAACAAAAAACUCAGCAACAUUAAAAAUCCUUUCAUGAAAAAACCCUAAAAUCUUAUUCAUUUUGAAAAAUUGUACCCUCAUUUGAAAGCUUAUGCUCCAAGGGUCUCAAAAGUACAAAAAUAUUCAAGAAAAGCCAUAAAAAUCACUUUCUUCCAAGAGGAAUGAGUUGCUGAUAUUUUUGAAGCUCAAACCCCUAACAAUGGCUGAAAAAUCAGUGGUAAAGAAGAAAGAAUGAAAGAAAAAAGAUGAUAGUUAGGCUUAGGGCAUUAUUAUAUCAUACAUUAUGUCAUCAACUUACCUAAUGUUAACUUUUCAACAUUUUUACCUUCCGUGGCCGGCCAAGCUAUCACAAUAGGGCCUAAUUGCCCUUUAAAGACCUUCAAUUUUUAUUCUCUAGCUAUUUGACACUUUUAGCUAUCAAUUUAGGACUUUUGUAUUUUUUGCGAUUUAGUCCUUUCUCGCAGUUGGACUCACAAACGUCAAAAUUAAAUCACCAAAUUUUUUAUACACUUAUAUAAACAUGCAGUGACUCCAAAAUAAUAAUAAAAUAAUUUAUUCAACUCUAGAUUUGUGGUCCCGAGACCAUUACUCUAACUAGUCCUUAAAUCGGGCUGUUACAUUUCUUCCCCCUUAGGGAUUUUCGUCCCAAAAAAUCUUACCAGCGAAUAAGUUUGGGUAUUGAUCUCUUAUAGUCUCCUCAGGUUCCUAUGUGGCUUCUUCGAAUCCAUGUCUAUGCCACAAAACUUUCAUGAGUGCAAUACUCUUAUUCCUCAAUUGUUUGAGUUCCCGAGCUAAAAUCUAGAUCGGCUAUUCGCCAUAAGUCAUGUCCGGAUAAAUUUCAGUCUCGGUUGGGGCAACCACAUACGAAGGGUCUGAUCUAUACCAAUAUAGCACAGAUACAUGACACACUUUGUGAAUCUUUUCCAAUUCUGGUGGCAAAGCCAAAAGAUAGGGAACCAGUCUUACUCUCUCCAUAACCUUAUAAGGUCUUAUGAAGUGAUGACUCAACUUGCCUCUUCUACCAAAUCUGAUGACUUUCCUCCACGGGGAUACUUUCAAAAACACUUGAUCACCCACUUGAAAUUUAAUCUCUUUAUGUUUUAAAUCUGCAUAGGAUUUCUGUCUAUCCGAAGUGGCCUUCAAGCAGUCACGAAUCACUUUAACUUUCUAUUCAGUCUCUUUGAUUAAAUUGACUCCGUGAAUCCAACUCUCUCUGAGUUCCGUCCAAUAUAAGAGAGUUCGACCCUUUCACCCAUAUAAAGCCUCAUAAUGUGCCAUUUUCAUACUUUUCUGAUAACUGUUAUUGUAGGCGAAUUCAAUCAAUGGUAAGUAUCUUUCCCAAGUUCCCUGAAACUCGAGAAUGCAACACCGUAACAUGUCCUCUAAAAUCUAAAUCACUUUCUCUGACUGACCGUUGGCUUGCGGAUAGAAUGCCGUGCUAAAACUCAAAUUUGUCCCCAAUACCUCUUGUAACUUUUUCCAAAACCUUGAGGUAAAUAUCGGGUCUCUAUCCAAAAUAAUCGACAAAGGCACUCCAUGUAGCCUCACAAUCUCAGAAACAUACAAGUUAGACAAUAUUUCAAGGGAGUAGUCAGUACACACUGGUAUAAAAUGUACUGACUUUGUUCAUCUAUCCACAAUAACCCAAACAACAUCCUUUUUCUUCCGGGUUACCAAAAAGCCCGUCACAAAAUCCAUGUUAAUCUAAUCCCACUUCCACUCUAGAACCGUUAUAGGAAGAAGUAGACCUGAAGGUACUUGGUAUUCAGCCUUCACUUGUUGACACACAAGACACUUGGAAACAAACUCUGAAAUAUCUCUUUUCAUCCCCGACCACCAAUACAUUUUCUUCAGGUUGUUAUACAUUUUUACACUGCCUGGGUGGACAGACAAACAACCAUUAUGUGCCUCUCACAGAAUCUUCUAAAUAAGCUCAUUGCCCUUGGGUACAUAAACUCUAUUUUUGAACAUUAAACAUCCAUCAACACCAAUACAAAACUUAGAUUCAUUUUCCGUCUCAUACUGAGUCUUCUUAGCUUGCAACUCCUUAUCAUCUUUCUGAGCCUCACAAAUCUCUUGUAGUAAUGUCGGUUUAGCUCUCAACUCUGCUAGGAUCGAACCAUCAUCUAAUAAAGCCAUUUGCGCAUCCAUUGCUCUCAACACAAAUAAUGAUUUUCUACUCAAGGCAUCGGCGACCACAUUCGCCUUGCCCGGGUGAUAGUCAAUUACCAACUCGUAAUCCUUUAUCAGCUCUAGCCACCUUCGUUGCCAUAGAUUCAACUCUUUUGAGUCAUCAAAUAUUUGAGACUUUUUUUAUCGGUAAAUAUUCGGCAUUUCUCACCAUACAAAUGGUGUCUCCAAAUCUUCAAUGCAAACACGAUGGCAGCCAACUCUAGAUCGUGUGUUGGGUAAUUUUUUUCAUAUGACUUUAGCUGUCUUGAAGCAUAGGCUAUAAAUUUUCCUUUUUGCAUAAGUACACACCCCAACCUAUUUAAGGAGGCAUCACUAUAUAUCACAAAUUCCUUACCCGACUCUAGUUGCACUAGCAGUGGGGCUUCAGUCAACAAAACCUUUGAUUUCUCAAACUUUGUUGGCACUUUCUGACCACUCGAAUUUGACAUCCUUCUGUAGUAGCCUCAUUAUUGGUGUAGUGAUCAUAGAAAACCCUUGAACAAACCUUCUAUAGUAUCUGACCAAACCCAAUAAGCUUCGGACAUCCGUCACAUUCUUCGGCAAUUUCCAUUCAACAAUAGCCAAAAUUUUGCUUGGGUCAACUCUAAUCCCGUCACCCGACACAAUGUGUCCUAAAAUUCCAACCUCCCUAAGCCAGAAUUUGCUCUUACUGAACUUGGCGUACAUUUUUUUGUCUCUCAGGGUCUGUAAUAUAGUCCUCAAAUGCUUCGCAUGUUCACUCUUAUCAUGCAAGUAAAUCAGUACCACCGUGAACUUAUCCAAAUACGGCCGAAAAAUGGGUUCAUCAAAUCCAUAAACACCGCCGGGCAUUAGUCAAACCAAAGGGCAUGACGAGGAACUCAUAAUGCCCGUAUCUUGUCCGAAAUGCAAUCUUCGGUACAUCUUGCUCUUUCACUCUUAACUAGUAGUAUCCUGACCUCAGGUCAAUCUUGGAAAAUACACUGGCUCCCUUUAACUGAUCAAACAGGUCAUCGAUCCUUGGCAAAAGAUACUUGUUCUUCACUGUUACCUUAUUAACCUAACUAUAGUCGAUGCAUAACCUCAUCGACCUAUCUUUCUUUUUCACAAAGAGCACUGGAGCACCCACGGGGAAAAGCUCGAUCUCGCAAAGCCCUUGUUAGUUAACUCUUGUAGUUGAGCUUUCAACUCCUUUAACUCCGUAGGAGCCAUCCUAUACGGAGCAAUUGAGAUGGGUGCCGUGCCCAGUAUCAACUCGAUUCCAAACUCUACUUUCCUCACUAGAGGUAAUCAUAGUAAUUCCUCUGGAAAUAUGUCUGUAAACUCACAAACCACUGGUAUCGAUUCUAUCUUCAACUCAGACACUUGAGUAUUUAGCACAAAAGUGAUCAUUUCCUCAAAUAUUCCUCAACAGUCGAAGACGAUACUAUUACAGGCAACUUAUCUGAUUCAUCUGGCCCAACCCGAAGAACAUUUCCGUCUUCACAUUUCAACUCAAUAACUUUUCUCCCAUAGUCCACUACAAAACUAUGAAAAGUCAACCAAUCUAUCCCAAGGAUUACAUGAAAUUCAUUAAACGGCAAUAACAUCAAGUUAGCCUGAAAACAAUGACCUCUAAUUGUCAAAGGACAAUUUCUACAUACUUGGUCCACUAGCACAUAUCUGCCUAAAGGGUUAAACACUUUUAUUACAAACUCAGUGGACUCUACUAUCAUGUUCAUAUGAGGUAUCAAUUCUAUACAAAUGUAAAAGUGGGUAGACCCCGAAUCAAUUAAAGCAACAACAGAUAUUCCAUCAAUAGAAAAAGUACUCGUGAUCACAUCGGGAGAUUCUGCCUCUUCACAGGCACGAAUAGCGUAAGUCCUUGCAGGCGAUCUGCCCUCGGACCUCACUGCAGCAUCUCUGGGCGCACCCCUGCUAGUAGUCCCACUUUCAGAGCUCUUUUGUUUUUUCUCUCUCUCUCUUCCAUUUUAGGACAGUCUUGGAUGAAAUGUUCUAAUGAUCCACACUUAAAACAGCCCCUUUCAUUCCCCCAACAAUUGCUGCAGUGGCGCCUACCACAUUGCGAACAUUUUGGCCUAUUCGGCCAAGCACUACCGACGCUCGCGACAGAAGUGGUCUGGGCUCCAGAAGUUGUGUUCUGUCGGUUCUUGUUUCUAUUCGAAAACCCCACUGAAGCAUUCGAUUGAGUAGCAAAUUCCUUCGGUCUCUUAAAUGAAGACUAAUGUGACUUCCCCAUCUGUCUCUUCUUUGAAUCUCGCGACUCAAUAGCCGCUUUCCUCCUCUCUUUAACUAGCUCUUCUACCUUUCAUGCUCUCUCAAAGAGCACUACAAAUUCUCUUAGUUCUAAGAUGCCAACAAAUACUCAGAUAUCUUCAUUAAGACCAUCCUCGAACCUGUUACACAUGGCGGCUUCUGAGGACACGCACUCCGGCGCGUAUUUACUAAGUUUCACAAACUCUCGUUCAUACUCCAUCACUGUUCUACUACCUUGCUUUAACUCUAAAAAUUCCUUCCUUUUUUGGUCUAUAAAUUUCUGGCUAAUAUACUUUUUUUGAAAUUCUUCCUGGAAGAAUUACCAAAUGAUCCUCUCUCUCGGUACAACAGACACGAGAGUAUUCCACCACUGAUAAGCCGAAUCUCGUAGGAGUGACACUGCACACUUUACGCACUCUUCAGGCAUGCACGACAAUUCAUCAAACACCCUAACAGUAUUCUUUAACCAAAACUUUGCUUUCUCCGGGUCAUCAUCUAAGUUAGCCCGGAACUCCUCAGCUCCUUACUUUCUAAUCUUGUCUACCAGAGGCUUCUCCCUCCUAAUCAAGUACGUGCCUUGGGGAUCUACCGGGGCAUACUAAAAAAUCAGAGAAGGUGAGGGAGGUGGAGUGCUCAGAUUCACAGCGAAUCUGAGUACCAAGUGUCCACCAUUCGAAGAUAGGUUUCUCUAGCCCUUUCGCCUUGGCCCAUAGUCACGGGCUUGCUCUCAACUAGCGUAGUCCCCUCGACGGGAGCUGGGGCGUUACUCUCUACGUCAUCCGCCGUGGCUCUAUCAGGAUCCAUUUACUAUAUAGAAAUACAAUUUAUAAUCGUCAGAAGUCGUCACACUAUCAAUAUACAGUUAUGGCAUGUAUAGCUAGACUCGUUCUCUUGCUAGAUUAGUCUUAGAACCGACUAAACUAUAGCUCUUAUACCACUAAAUGUAACACCCUAUACCCGUAACCCAUGCUAGAGCGAAAUACGAGGCAUUACUUAACUCGAUCUUCUGCACACAAACGUUUCCCAAGUCACCAGACUUGAUCCAAAUUAAAACUUUUCAAUUUCAACAUAAAACAUUUUAUUAUGUGCCUACGAGCCCCAAAUCGACCAUUGAAAACUAUUCGGGAUCAACUCGGGUAUUCAAACCCUCUAUAAAAAAUUUGACUUUGAAAUAGGGCACACGCCCGUGUGGCCAUUUCAACAUGGUCGUGUUGAUGGCCUGUGUGGCUCACACGGCCUAGGUAAUAUAAGGACACACCCGUGUCCUCCGCUUGUAUGGAAUUAAUUCUAAAAGCACACCUAAAGGGGUUUUCACAUGGCCUGGCACACGCCCGUGUGCCUGGCUUGUGUCCUUCACACGGCCAUGACACGCCCGUGUCCUAGCCCGUGUGCAAAAAAAUGGACAUUCUGUUUCUGACGUUAGCAUCCCCAAAAUAUCACACAGCCAAUGCACACACCCGUGUGCUAGGCCGUGUCUAUUACAUAGUUGAGAUACACGAUCGUGUCUCUGCCAGUGUGUUUACUGUCAUGCAUAUUGACUUGAAAUUUUUAUGUACAAGGGACACAUGACCGGACCACACACCCAUAAGGCAAACCGUGUGGACAAUAUAAGGCUAUUUCCCAAGCCUAUUUGCCACCCUUACUUACACAACCUAUAUAGUAGCAACCACAAUCAAGAUAAGACUAUCCCAAGCAACCAAAUCAGCCACUAUAAACAACAUUCCAUUUGUGCAUUUUACUUAUCUAUGAAAAUAACAUCUUUACAUAUAAAUCAAAAUGAAUAUUAGCCAUUAUUCAAGGCUUAAUACGAAAUGAAGGGUUCCUAACCCAAGACAACACAUUUGGCCAGUUUUCAAUGACACAAAAAUAGUAAAGUCUAAGCCCUAUACAAGCCAUAUUUAAAAAUAUAAAUCAAACUAUACCAAAAGCUUCAAUUGAUAGUGCGAUCGAUAUCUUUGACUUUCGUUGAUCCUUAAGUUAGAUAGGCAGCACUAUAAGAAAAUGGAAAAAGAGAGGGAGUAAGCAUAAAGCUUAGUAAGUUGCACAUAAAUAAAUAUACAACAUAUCUUUACCAUUCAUCAAAAAGUAUCAUAAUACACAAGUGGCAUAAGCAAAACUUACUCAUCAAUAUUCAUUACACCUCAUAUAGCAUAUAUUGAGCUCACAUUUCAUACAUACCAUAUGGGUACCUGUACCACUCACAACACGGUUAUACUUUUCUAGUUAACUUUAAAUCAUACUUUCACCAUUGAACUAUAUUGAACAUUAUCGGAUAUUCAUUUAGCCUCAAAUAUGGGGUCAGACAUCGACUUCAUGUCCCCGACAUAGUCUUACACAAGUUCCAGUAUAUCUGUGCCGAUACCAAGUCCCAGACAUGGUCUUACAUUGACAGAUCUCGUAGCUGAUGCAUGUCCCAAACCUGUCUUACACUAGCUUACGUCUCGAGGCUGAUGCAUGUCCCAGACAUUCUUACACUAGCACCUGUCUCAAUGCCGAUGCCAUGUGCCAGACAUGGUCUUACACUGGCUCUCAUAAUGUGGCUGAUGCAUGUCCCAGACAUGUCUUACACUAGCUCACAAUAACCCAUAUGUUAUGGCAUGAAUCUCUAAUCUAUUUCCUAAGUUCAAACUGGAACUCUACUAUCUCUAUUACCAUCAUGCUUUCUCAAUUCCACAAUCAAGCAAUUCAUGCUAUAUUAAUCUGAAGUACAAUUCAACACAUAUAUUAACAUUGUAGUUGUAUUAUUUACAUACAACUUACAUCGGAUUACAAAAUAUGGCAACGAGUCGAUUUAGUCGAUUUGCUUGGCUUUCCCCCGGUCUAGGUUCAGAUUUGGUAUUUCUUGAUCUAUAAUAGAAAAAUGCAUUUAUUUAGUCACUUUAUCAAUCUAGGCACUCUACAAUUCAUAAUUGGGCAAGAUGACCAAUUUGCUCCUAGACUUUUGCAGAAUGACCAUUUUACCCCUAAGUCCGAAAAUCGAUUUUUGUCGAAUUGCUUCACAUCUUAAGCCUAGCCAAACCCUUUUUACUCUUAUAGCAACUCCAAAUUCUCACUAUUUCACAUAUUUAACAUCUAUUUUACAACUUGUACAAAAUGGUCCUUUUAGGUGUUUUCAUGCCAACACCUUUCACAAAAAUUGGUUAUAAGACACCCAAGACUCAUUUUUCUUUUACAAAAACUCAGCAAAAUUACAAAUCCUUUCAUGUAAAAACCCUAAACUCUUAUUCAUUUUGCAAAAUAGUACCCUCAUUUGAAAGCUAUUGCUCCAAGGGUCUCAAAAGUACAAAAAUAUUCAAGAAAAGCCAUAAAAAUCACUUACUUGUAAAAGGAAUGAGUUGCUGAAAUUUUUGAAGCUCAAACCCCUAACAACGACUAAAAAAUCGAUGGUAAAGAAGAAAGAGUGAAAGAAAAAAGAUGAUAGCUAGGCUUAGGGCAUUAUUAUAUCAUACAUUAUGUCAUCAACUUACCUAAUGUUGACUUUUCAACAUUUUUACCUCCCAUGGCCGGCCAAGCUAUCACAAUAGGAUCUAAUUUCCCUUUAAAGACCUUCAAUUUUUAUUCUCUAGCUAUUUGACACUUUCAACUAUCAAUUUAGGAGUUUUGCAUUUUAUGCGAUUUAGUCAUUUCUCGCAAUUAGACUCGCAAACGUCAAAAUUAACUCACCAAAAUUUUUAUACACUUAUAUAAACAUGCAAUGACUCUAAAAUAAUAAUAAAAUAAUUUAUUCAACUCUGAAUUUGUGGUCCUAAGAUCACUAUUCUGACUAGGCCCUAAAUCGGGCUAUUACACUAAAAUUCUAGUAAGUGAGGCUGCAUGGUUACCAGGAGCUGUGGAUUACAGAAUUCAAAAUGGUGAGAGUUGUUCUGAAACUUUUAUUGUGGCAGAUCUAGUUGACAAUGUCAUAAGGAAAUGGAAAGUGGAGUUCAUAAUGUAUACCUUCUAUGAAAGUGAUGCUAAAAGAAUUCUGAGCAUCUCUUUGUCAAGGUUCUCGCAUGAAGACUACUAAGUGUAGAGAGAGAGGAGGCAUCGAGGGAAUUCUCAGUUCGCGGUGCCUAUAAGUCUCUUUUACAAUAGUUUAUUGAGCUUACUCAUUUAUACAACCAAACUGAGCAUACAAAUUUUUACAAGAAAUUAUGGGGCUUGAAUCUACCCUAAAAACUGAAUAUUACAAUUUGGUGUUUCUAAAAAAAAUAAUUUCCUACGCUAUUUAAUCUACAGUAUAAAAGAUCAAGAAAUACAAUAAUAUGCCCGAGAUGCAUAGGAAAGGUUGAAUCCAGAGUACAUGUUCUGCGUGAUUGUCUUGUGACAAAGGAGAUGUGGCAUCAAUUGAAUUGGAAUUGGCCAAAUUCAGUAUUAUACAUGGAGCUUAUGUACUGGGUUACCAGGUUUUUUUUAGAAAAAUUCUACCAUUCAAUGUUGUCUUUUUGUCUGUGCUUUAUGGGUAAUAUGGACUGAAAGAAACAAAUUGGUCAUGAGGGGCAAAGGAAAACAAGUUUAGCCAUAACGAAUUUUAUUAGGAAUUAUGUUCAAAAACUAGAUGGUUGAAUAAUUCCAUACAUGUUCAAAGAAUGGAGUUGAAAAAGUGGCAGCCAACAGAGAACCCAUUUGUGAAAAUAAACUUUGAUGCAGCAUACAGAAAACAUGAAAGCAAAUCUUGCUCAGUGAUUGCAAUUAGAGAUUCUAUGGGGCGGGUAUUGAGUUUUAGGGUUGAGUUGAAUGAUAAUGUACCCUUGGUGUUCGCAGUAGAGGCUAUUGCAUGCGUUCAACUGGGCCUGGAUCUGGGGUUUACGACAGUCGAAAUUGAAGGAGAUGCCCUAUCUAUUGUAAAAAAAAUACACAAAGGAGGGGUGAUAAAUAAAAAAUUUGUGCUUAUAUUAGAGAUGGGCAAGGGCUGGGUAAAAGAUUUCAAACCUGUCAAUUUAAACAUGGGCACAAAUUAACGAAUUGGGUUGCUCAUUUGCUGGCUGCAAAAGGUCUAAAGAAAGGGGAUCGAUGCUUGAUGAGAAAUGGGUUUCCUGAGUAUGUUAGAGAAUAAGUGGAAAUGGAUCAUAGGGGAUAAUGUUUUUGGUCUGGGUUUUUUCUUAGUUUGGCAAGUUGGGGGACAAGAAGCAUAUAGAGAAGAGAGAUAAAUGGAAGUCGGAUGGUUUCUAGUAAUUGGAAAAAAAAAAAAGAUAAAUUAUUGAGGGGUUACUAUCUAGUUGUUGGAUCACAGGAGUUGUGUCGCAUUAAUUGCUUCAAGAGUAAGCUCCUUUCUUUGUUGGAUUAUUGGGCUGAUUGGGUUAGCCCAACUUUAUUGUUUUGCCCGUUUGUUG
rnacentral:lncRNA from 1 species